GAUGAACGCUGGCGGCGUGCCUAAUACAUGCAAGUCGAGCGAACAGACGAGGAGCUUGCUCCUUUGACGUUAGCGGCGGACGGGUGAGUAACACGUAGGUAACCUACCUAUAAGACUGGGAUAACUUCGGGAAACCGGAGCUAAUACCGGAUAAUAUUUCGAACCGCAUGGUUCGAUAGUGAAAGAUGGCUUUGCUAUCACUUAUAGAUGGACCUGCGCCGUAUUAGCUAGUUGGUAAGGUAACGGCUUACCAAGGCAACGAUACGUAGCCGACCUGAGAGCGUGAUCGGCCACACUGGAACUGAGACACGGUCCAGACUCCUACGGGAGGCAGCAGUAGGGAAUCUUCCGCAAUGGGCGAAAGCCUGACGGAGCAACGCCGCGUGAGUGAUGAAGGUCUUCGGAUCGUAAAACUCUGUUAUUAGGGAAGAACAAACGUGUAAGUAACUGUGCACGUCUUGACGGUACCUAAUCAGAAAGCCACGGCUAACUACGUG
rnacentral:rRNA from 1 species